rnacentral:rRNA from 1 species
UACGUAGGGUGCGAGCGUUGCCCGGAUUUAUUGGGCGUAAAGGGCGCGUAGGCGGCCUGAUAAGUAGGGGGUGAAAUCCUGCGGCUUAACCGCAGGGCUGCCUUCUAAACUGUCAGGCUCGAGCACAGUAGAGGCAGGUGGAAUUCCCGGUGUAGCGGUGGAAUGCGUAGAUAUCAGGAGGAACACCGAUAGCGAAGGCAGCUCGCUGGGACGGUACUGACGCUGAGGCGCGAAAGCGUGGGGAGCGAACAGG